rnacentral:lncRNA from 1 species
GCAUCCGGAGCCCAGGACUGCUGAGUCAACCCUCUGGAAUGCCCACAACUCCCCACAGGCCAGCCGGCCUUGGGACUCCCGCACAGCCACGUGAGCCGGUGGAGCGGGGUCUGUUUGCUAGUGGAGGCUGUUAACAGCACGGGAAGUGGUCAAGGGUUCAACAAGAGAUGAGCCAUCUGGUCCUCCAGAGAUGUUCCUGUUGGUCCAGAUACUUGAGCUAAAAGGUGAUGGAUACCUGGAUGUGGGGUGGUCAUUCUGGGGAGUACAUCCAUAUAGAAAGAGGAGCAGGUGCUGUGGGAUUCUGGAUCCCAGUGAUAGAGCUGGUUCCGCAAUCAGCAGCCCCCCAGACAUCCCUGGGAGGCUCCAAGGAGCUGACUCCUGAUGAGGAAAAGGAUCAGCCGCAGACUCACUCCUCCUCCAGCCACUUCCAGACCCACGGGAGGCGUGGGUGUGACCCAGACUACCUGGGAGCAUCUGCUUUUGUCUUCAUCCAGGGCAGGACCCUCUAAAGGAGGAGCCCUCAGAGAAGAAGGGAAAAGCCAAAAGGAAUUAAAAGCCAAUUUCCAAAUGGAAA